AGGGCUGUGGCUCAGUGGUAGAGCAUCUGCCUGGGUUGCAGAAGGUCCCAGGUUCAAUCCCCGGCAUCUCCA